GGGGGGCUUGCAUAUCUGGUGAUUGCCACAGACUUCAAAUCUGAUGUGCGGCUAAGUGUUUAGUCGCUGGGGAGUUCGAUUCUCUCGCCUUCUCACCA
rnacentral:tRNA from 1 species